CGUGUUUUUCAUCCGUUAAUACUUGUAUUUUUGUGAUUAAUUGAUGCCUAAAUAUAAUUAGUAUCCUUAUAUUUUGACUUAGGUUGCAAUUGGAUGGAGCUGUGAAGGCUGGGAGAAAAGAGUGGAAAAGGACCAAAAUGGAAGCAAGUGAAAGUUUAGGAAACAAGUUGCAAAUAAUUCAUAGAUAAGAUGGGCGAUGGAACGAAGGUUCAAGAGUGUUAGAGUCAAUCGAAUGACGAAAAAAGUCAAAAAGAUGAAAUAUAGUCAAAGCGUUAUCACAUAUCAACUUUCAAGUGAAAGAGUUACGGUCCAGGUUUCUAGCCUCUAUUUGAGACUUAUUUUUGGCACAGUAAAUGUCCGAAUUGAAAAAAGUAUAUCUCAACCAAAAUUGUAGCCCUUUUUGUUAUCUUUCCAAUACACUUUGAAUCAUCUCAAUCGAAUAUCGAGAGAGAAAGUUAUGACCAAAAUACUAAAAGCUGUCCGGCGGAGAAGACGGUUGAACCAUGCGAUCGUAUAGUUCAAAAUCCAUGCGGUCGCACACGAGAUUUUAGAGAAUUCUGUGGCCAAAAAUGUUUCUUCCUUGCAAUCACAUACAGUAAAUCUGGGACGCGAUUUGUAAUUUCCUUAAUUUCAUUCAACUACUCAUGUAAACAAAUCUUAUACACAAUGUAUAAGCCCCAGAACUCGUCCAAAAUCUAGAGAACACCCCCAACCCACUUUUCUCUCUUCUUGUGUUCUAGAUUUAUGAUGUGUAACUAAACUCUUGUGCUUGAUUGAAGGAGACGGAAGCUUUGGAACAAUUAUUACUAUGAGAUCCAUUUGAUUUUUAUUAUUUAAUACUUAUAUUUAGUAUUAAAU
rnacentral:lncRNA from 1 species